GUGCAAAUGCUGGAAAAGACUGACAUGGACAAAGGAACCACUGAUGUGC
ensembl:snoRNA SNORD42 Small nucleolar RNA SNORD42